rnacentral:misc_RNA from 1 species
UCCGUCUUUCGAGGCAGUCCCGCCAGAGUCCCCGACAUUACUCGCUGGCAACUGGCGGCAGGGGUUUCGCUCGUUAUGGGACUUAACCCGACAUCUCACGACACGAGCUGACGACAGCCAUGCAACACCUGUAUCGGCUUCCGGACUGGAUACCGUUCGGCCACCCUUUCGGGUACCUACUUGCCGACGCUUUCGCGUAUGUCAAACCCGGGUAAGGUUCUGCGCGUUGCUUCGAAUUAAACCACACGCUCCACCGCUUGUGUGAGCCCCCGUCAAUUCCUUUGAGUUUCACACUUGCGUGCGUACUCCCCAGGCGGGGUACUUAAUGCAUUUGCUGCGAAAGAGACCCCGGAGCAGGGCCCCCUCCUAGUACCCAUCGUUUACGGCGUGGACUAC